AACGAACGCUGGCGGCGCGCCUAAUACAUGCAAGUCGAGCGAGAAGACGUAGCAAUACGUUUGUAAAGCGGCGAACGGGUGAGGAAUACAUGGGUAACCUACCCUCGAGUGGGGAAUAACUAGCCGAAAGGUUAGCUAAUACCGCGUACGCUCCUUGGACUUCGGUUCAGGGAGGAAAGCGAUACCGUGGGUAUCGCGCUCUUGGAUGGGCUCAUGUCCUAUCAGCUUGUUGGUGAGGUAACGGCUCACCAAGGCUUCGACGGGUAGCUGGUCUGAGAGGACGAUCAGCCACACUGGCACUGCGACACGGGCCAGACUCCUACGGGAGGCAGCAGUAAGGAAUAUUGCGCAAUGGGCGAAAGCCUGACGCAGCGACGCCGCGUGGGGGAUGAAGGUCUUCGGAUUGUAAACCCCUUUCGGGAGGGAAGAUGGAACGAGCAAUCGUUCGGACGGUACCUCCAGAAGCAGCCACGGCUAACUUCGUGCCAGCAGCCGCA
rnacentral:rRNA from 1 species